UACGUAGGGUGCGAGCGUUAAUCGGAAUUACUGGGCGUAAAGCGUGCGCAGGCGGUUCGUUGUGUCGGCGGUGAAAGCCCCGGGCUCAACCUGGGAAUGGCAAUGGAUACUGGCAGGCUAGAGUGCGGUAGAGGGUAGUGGAAUUCCCGGUGUAGCGGUGAAAUUCGUAGAUAUCGGGAGGAACACCGGUGGCGAAGGCGGCGAUCUGGGUCGAUACUGACGCUGAGGUGCGAAAGCGUGGGGAGCGAACAGG
rnacentral:rRNA from 1 species